GUGAGUCAUCGAAUCUUUGAACGCACAUUGCGCCCGCCAGUAUUCUGGCGGGCAUGCCUGUCCGAGCGUCAUUUCAACCAUCAAGCCCCGGGCUUGUGUUGGGGACCUGCGUCCGACGCAGGCCCUGAAAACCAGUGGCGGGCUCGCUGUCCACACCGAGCGUAGUAACUAACCUCGCUAUGGAGUGGCGCGGGCGCCUGCCGUAAAACCCCCAAUUUUACAAGGUUGACCUCGGAUCAGGUAGGAAUACCCGCUGAACUUAAGCAUAUCAAUAAGCGGAGGA
rnacentral:misc_RNA from 1 species